CCUACGGGAGGCAGCAGUAGGGAAUCUUCCGCAAUGGACGAAAGUCUGACGGAGCAACGCCGCGUGAGUGAUGAAGGUUUUCGGAUCGUAAAGCUCUGUUGUUAGGGAAGAACAAGUACCGUUCAAAUAGGGCGGCACCUUGACGGUACCUAACCAGAAAGCCACGGCUAACUACGUGCCAGCAGCCGCGGUAAUACGUAGGUGGCAAGCGUUGUCCGGAAUUAUUGGGCGUAAAGGGCUCGCAGGCGGUUUCUUAAGUCUGAUGUGAAAGCCCCCGGCUCAACCGGGGAGGGUCAUUGGAAACUGGGGAACUUAAGUGCAGAAGAGGAGAGUGGAAUUCCACGUGUAGCGGUGAAAUGCGUAGAGAUGUGGAGGAACACCAGUGGCGAAGGCGACUCUCUGGUCUGUAACUGACGCUGAGGAGCGAAAGCGUGGGGAGCGAACAGGAUUAGAUACCCUGGUAGUC
rnacentral:rRNA from 1 species